GGGGGCGUAGCUUAGAUGAUAAAGCGCUCGCUUAGUAUGCUAGGGAUACAUGGAUUGACUCCAGGUGCCUCCA